CCUACGGGAGGCAGCAGUAGGGAAUCUUUCACAAUGGGCGAAAGCCUGAUGGAGCAACGCCGCGUGCAGGAUGAAGGCCUUCGGGUUGUAAACUGCUUUUAUAAGCGAGAAAUAUGAUGGUAACUUAUGAAUAAGGAUCGGCUAACUACGUGCCAGCAGCCGCGGUCAUACGUAGGAUCCGAGCAUUAUCCGGAGUGACUGGGUGUAAAGAGUUGCGUAGGUGGCAUAAUAAGUAGCUAGUGAAAUCUGGUGGCUCAACCAUUCAGACUAUUAGCUAAACUGUUAAGCUCGAGAGCGUUAGAGGUAACUGGAAUUUCUAGUGUAGGAGUGAAAUCCGUAGAUAUUAGGAGGAACACCAAUAGCGUAGGCAGGUUACUGGGACGGUUCUGACGCUAAGGCACGAAAGCGUAGGGAGCAAACGGGAUUAGAUACCCGUGUAGUC
rnacentral:rRNA from 1 species